rnacentral:rRNA from 1 species
GACAUAGGUGACGAACGUUAUCCGGAAUUAUUGGGCGUAAAGGAUGCGUAGAUGGUUCGACAAGUUACUGGUGGGAAAUCGAGGCUCAACCUCGUGGAAGUUGGUAAUACUGUCGAGCUUGAGUGCAGGAGAGGUUAAUGGAACUUUAUGUGGAGCGGUAAAAUGCGUAGAUAUUGGGAAGAACACCAGUGGCGAAGGCGGCGCUCUGGACCGAGACUGACGCUGAGGCGCGAAAGCGUGGGGAGCAAACAGG